rnacentral:rRNA from 1 species
GACGUAGGGCGCGAGCGUUGUCCGGAUUUACUGGGCGUAAAGCGCGCGUAGGCGGGAAGAGAAGUCCGGUGGGAAAGCCCACGGCUCAACCGUGGAAGAACGCUGGAAACUCUCAUUCUUGAGGGCGGCAGAGGGAAGUGGAAUUGCUGGUGUAGCGGUGAAAUGCGUAGAUAUCAGCAGGAACACCCGUGGCGAAGGCGGCUUCCUGGGCCGCCCCUGACGCUGAGGCGCGAAAGCGUGGGGAGCGAACGGG